GAAAAGUUUCAAGUAUGGAAAAGUAUGCUUGUGAGUAAACCAAUUUAAUUACCUUCCUCCUGAUGAUAAGAGGGGUAUCAUCAUCAUCAUCAACAUCAUCCUCCAGAAUGGGAGAUGCUGAGGCUGGCCGUUUGCGGCUCGGGGCACUUUUGGCUGCAGUAGGCUUGGCAGGGAGAGAAGAAGAUGGACGAGCAGACUGUUUAGCGCGACGAGGA
rnacentral:lncRNA from 1 species